GCUAAGAACAGUUGAAAGGUGGGAACACUUAAUUCCAGCAAACGUUGUUGAAUUAAACACUGUUCUCUCUUCUUUUAGUUCCUCUCACCUAGACUUGGGAGACUUGAGGCUGCUACCUCUGACAAUUGUAACCCUGCUAGGUCCUAAUGUUGAGAUGACUUGCUUUUUCCUCAGGUUGCCCUUUAUCUGUGCUCCAUCCUUUGUGGCAUUGAAGUGUGACACUGUCUAUCAGCUCCUCUCCUCCUGGGUCCAGCUAGCAUUAGCUCUUCAGUGA
rnacentral:lncRNA from 1 species